rnacentral:rRNA from 1 species
AACGAACGCUGGCGGCAUGCCUAACACAUGCAAGUCGAACGAGAUCUUCGGGUCUAGUGGCGCACGGGUGCGUAACGCGUGGGAAUCUGCCCUUUGGUUCGGAAUAACAGUUGGAAACGACUGCUAAUACCGGAUGAUGACGAAAGUCCAAAGAUUUAUCGCCAGAGGAUGAGCCCGCGUAGGAUUAGCUCGUUGGUGGGGUAAAGGCGCACCAAGGCGACGAUCCUUAGCUGGUCUGAGAGGAUGAUCAGCCAAACUGGGAAUGAGACACAGCCCAGACUCCUACGGGAGGCAGCAGUGGGGAAUAUUGGACAAUGGGCGAAAGCCUGAUCCAGCAAUGCCGCGUGAGUGAUGAAGGCCUUAGGGUUGUAAAGCUCUUUUACCCGGGAUGAUAAUGACAGUACCGGGAGAAUAAGCUCCGGCUAACUCCGUGCCAGCCGCCGCGGUAA